CACUAGAAGAUAAAGACUUUUAGCAAUACCUGCCCAGUGCGAAAUAUUACUGUAAACGGCCGCCCUAGCGUGAGGGUGCUAAGGUAGCGAAAUUCCUUGCCUUUUGAUUGUAGGCCUGCAUGAAUGGUUUAACGAGGGUUUAACUGUCUCUAAAUUUUUUAUUGAAAUUGUACUGAAGGUGAAGAUACCUUCAUUAAAAAGUUAGACAAAAAGACCCCGUGCAACUUUGAAAAUUGACUUUAUUCAGGAGUAAAAGAUUUUUAGGUGGGGCGCCUAGAAAGUAAGCCUAACCUUUCUGAGUAACUAACUCUUUCCGGAUUUGACCCGAUUAUAUUCGAUCAUAGGAGAAGUUACGCCGGGGAUAACAGGCUAAUCCUUUAGUAGAGUUCGUAUUGGCUAAAGGGAUUGGCACCUCGAUGUUGAAUCAGGGAUGAUAGCUUCAAGGCGUAGAGGCUUUGAAAGUAGGUCUGUUCGACCUUUAAUACCCU
rnacentral:rRNA from 1 species